AUUUACCCCUGACUCUCGAUCAAAAUUACAAGGUUUUGCCGCCGCUAAGUUACAUAGUCCCCCGAUGAGGCGAUGUCCCAGAAACGGAACCUAGGGUUCCUUCUCUGGCGCACCCACUCGAUCCUCGGUAGCGGCUCGAUCGCACGCGGCGGCUGCUGCCUCCCUCCCCCGAUGGGAGGAACGGGACGCCUCGCCUCCUAAACCCUCGCCGCCGACCACGACGUCUUCGCUUGCCUGGUGCGGAUUCUCGUGCCCUCUGCCCCAACCCACGCGCAGCAGCUCCGAGCCUGCAACUCCCCAAGUUCUCUUCUCUUCUGCAACGACAGAGGCAAGCGAUUCAUCCCGAUGGAGAGCGGAGGAAGCCGGGGGCAGCGCUGGUGGGGCACCACAUGGAUUCGCAUGAUGCAGGACAGUACGGGGGCGCUGCCAGAUCCACUGGAUGUAGGGGAGGGCGGAUUGCCGCCGGAAUUCACGUGGUGCAGGAUCUGGUGGCGCGCCGUCAGUCGCCAGGAUUGGCAGUGGGAUGGCGGCAAGUCGAGGGGAUGGAGGCUGGGGGUCGGGAGGGACUACUGGUGUUGGUCGCCAUUGUCCAAGGCUAUUGGUCUUGGUCGCCUUCGUUCGCGUCGUGAAGUGCGCGACCCUCGCGAGCGUUCAUCUCGCGUCCGCUCAUGCCUUUACCAAAGAAUCGGUUUGACUGCAGUGCACGAUUACUAAAUUGGUGCAUUCAGAAUACCACCAAUAUAUAGUUUCUUGCAAUGCCAGCUAACAGUGCUACUGCUGAUCUCCCACGGAAGAUUUCUCCACCAAAAAUGAUUCACUCUUCUAUGCCCCUUACUGUAAAGUACCAUCAGAGCAUCGUAUCUCAAUGUUCCUUAUUUCUUUCAUACUUGACCGCACAGAAUUACUGUAAAAUGCUCAAACACUCGAACUAUUUGCUAUGGAGGAAUCUAUAAGUGUUUUACAAACCCCUGCUUCCUGUUUGCAGCCCCGAACUGAGGAGUAGCAGGGACGAGCGCAUCCUCGACGCUGCAGCGAUUGAUGCCGUGAAGGCGUACAGCAGGGACGAGCGCAUCCUCGACGCUACAGCGAUUGACGCCGUGAAGGCGUACACCGGCGUGGACUAGCAAGGCUGCUACGCAUCAGAUGGCGUUGAGGAAUGAUUCGAGCUCCUCCACAUUGUCUCCGAGGAAUAUUGAAGAUCUCAGGAGCGUGCACCUAUGUCAGAUUUGAGAGGGAAAGAAGCCCUCAGAGUACAUUAAUUCAUCACUGAGUUCGGGAAUUUGAAUGUCACACAUUAUCGUGAAAUUUAGAUGUCAUACAUUAUCAUGGACUCGGCUGCGGUCAAGCCCAAGCGCACCCGUGCGGACCGGGAGCUCUGUCUAGGUGGUGAUGCAUGUGUCGCCCUCUCUUGUAACCAGGGGAGUGUCCAUGGGUGUGUGUUGGAGGAUGCAUUGCCCCCUUCGGUGAACCGUGAAUUAACACCAUCACGGCACCGCCAGGCUUCUUGAGUCUGCUCCCGGCCAUUUGACAAGCUAGGACGAUAUUACAGAUUAUGAAAUUUGGUCCUCCAGUGAUUUUAUGCUUCACGGUUGUUUCUAUGGCUUUGAUUGUGGAUAAAUUUAUAUGAUGUACUGAUUUGCAAUGCGGGAGCUUUUGUUGUCCAGUGAUUGGUCUAUCGUCUAAUUGAAGCAUAUGGUGGCAUAUUUUGGCGUUGGUAUUUCGGCAUCUUCCUCGUUAACUGAAUUGAUCAAUUAUUCUAUUGCUGCAAGAAUUGAUAAUGCGGGCUGCGGAUAUGAUUAGUCAGAUUUCAGCUCCAUAAUAAUGAACUAAACGGUGCAUAGUGUGUUGGUCCCAGUGUACUUAUUGGAAAUGUCUGAUCAAGUUGUUACUUUGAAUGCUACGAUUUUAUUGCAGGCUUGGUUUAUCAUUAUUAGGAGUUCCGCUUCAUCACCUAUAAUAUCAGAAUUCCUCGGUUCCAUGUUUCAAGGUGUCAACAAGCAGAGGUAUUAACUGCUCUGGCAGAUGAUAAUGCUUUAAUGGAAGUACAAGUGUUCAUUAGUGCAGCUCGGUUCAUUGGAUGCACAUUGACACAAUGAUGCGAGAAUGCGUUUCUUUCUUGGAAUGGAAAAUCUACAUAUACUUUGCAAAGGUAGGUGUGUAUUCCAGCAAGAGAUAGAUCAACAGAGAAAAUUUAGAUUAGAAUGGGUUGAUUAGCUUUCUACUGUUAAUCUUAUAGCAUUUGAUGCUUGCUCUUGGGAUUUUCUGAAGAACAAUAUGCAGUGGCAGAAGCAUUCAGAAAAACCAGCUAUAUCCAGGGCCAUCAUAGAAUCUUCAGGCUACAUAUUUUCUAACAGUAUGGAGAGUUGUGGCAAGUGGAGUAGACAAGCUGAUAUUCACUGAAAUUUCCCUGGAAACCCAAUGUUUAGUAAUGGUGGGGCGGAAAGGAUUCAUGCUAAUUGGACUGGUCCCUUUGUUGUUUUUCAAGCAUGGUUUUUGAGGUCUGAAGUUUUCUUUCCAAGAUUGUACGAGUGGAAUGACUAAUGAUAAAAUUCAGCUGAUGAAGGAUGGUGUCACGUACUGACAGUUGCUGAGGCAGAUAAGAUAAUUAAAAAAAUAGGGUGUAUGAUAUACAAAUAUCAGGCUUCAAAGUUGGAAACGAAUUGUCAAAUUGGGAUGAAAUGUACAUUGUUUUACAUUAUACAAACUUACGUCUUUCUUGUUUACCAGAUGUACACUUUGCUUGUUGGAUUGUUGUCAUAAGGUUUACUACCACGAAAUAUAUGGAGGUCGAUUGGAUUAUGAGAUUGUAAAUAUUGCCUUA